rnacentral:rRNA from 1 species
CACGUAGGGUGCGAGCGUUGUCCGGAAUUAUUGGGCGUAAAGAGCUCGUAGGCGGUGUGUCGCGUCGGCCGUGAAAACCUGCAGCUUAACUGUGGGCUUGCGGUCGAUACGGGCAUCACUGGAGUUCGGCAGGGGAGACUGGAAUUCCUGGUGUAGCGGUGAAAUGCGCAGAUAUCAGGAGGAACACCGGUGGCGAAGGCGGGUCUCUGGGCCGAGUACUG